UAGCCAUCGUUUAAGCUUCCCUUUUGAUUGCUCUAAGCCUCCCAGUCGGGGAAAUAGAGGAAAAACAGGGAAAACAUAUGCAAAAAUCAACAAAAAUGAAGGAAGAUGAAAAAAAUAAGGAUAAGACCUUCUCCACAUAGUUUUUCUGCCAUUUUUGGAAAAGGGUUUCUUAGGUUCCGAUUAGAUUUUUUUCUCAAGCACAUGGGAUUUCAUGCGAGUUGUAGUGGUGUGAGUUGGGCCCC
rnacentral:lncRNA from 1 species